rnacentral:rRNA from 1 species
GCAGUCGAGCGACAGAUAAGGAGCUUGCUCCUUUGACGUUAGCGGCGGACGGGUGAGUAACACGUGGAUAACCUACCUAUAAGACUGGGAUAACUUCGGGAAACCGGAGCUAAUACCGGAUAAGAUUUUGAACCGCAUGGUUCAAUAGUGAAAGACGGCCUUGCUGUCACUUAUAGAUGGAUCCGCGCCGUAUUAGCUAGUUGGUAAGGUAACGGCUUACCAAGGCAACGAUACGUAGCCGACCUGAGAGGGUGAUCGGCCACACUGGAACUGAGACACGGUCCAGACUCCUACGGGAGGCAGCAGUAGGGAAUCUUCCGCAAUGGGCGAAAGCCUGACGGAGCAACGCCGCGUGAGUGAUGAAGGUCUUCGGAUCGUAAAACUCUGUUAUCAGGGAAGAACAAACGUGUAAGUAACUGUGCACGUCUUGACGGUACCUGAUCAGAAAGCCACGGCUAACUACGUGCCAGCAGCCGCGGUAAUACGUAGGUGGCAAGCGUUAUCCGGAAUUAUUGGGCGUAAAGCGCGCGUAGGCGGUUUUUUAAGUCUGAUGUGAAAGCCCACGGCUCAACCGUGGAGGGUCAUUGGAAACUGGAAAACUUGAGUGCAGAAGAGGAAAGUGGAAUUCCAUGUGUAGCGGUGAAAUGCGCAGAGAUAUGGAGGAACACCAGUGGCGAAGGCGACUUUCUGGUCUGUAACUGACGCUGAUGUGCGAAAGCGUGGGGAUCAAACAGGAUUAGAUACCCUGGUAGUCCACGCCGUAAACGAUGAGUGCUAAGUGUUACGGGGUUUCCGCCCCUUAGUGCUGCAGCUAACGCAUUAAGCACUCCGCCUGGGGAGUACGACCGCAAGGUUGAAACUCAAAGGAAUUGACGGGACCCGCACAAGCGGUGGGAGCAUGGUGGUUUAAUUCGAAGCAACCGCGAAGAA